GAUGAACGCUGGCGGUGUGCCUAAUACAUGCGAGUCGAGCGAACAGACGAGGAGCUUACUCCUCUGACGUUAGCGGCGGACGGGUGAGUAACACGUGGAUAACCUACCUAUAAGACUGGGAUAACUUCGGGAAACCGGAGCUAAUACCGGAUAACAUGUUGAACCGCAUGGUUCAACAGUGAAAGACGGUCUUGCUGUCACUUAUAGAUGGAUCCGCGUCGCAUUAGCUAGUUGGUAAGGUAACGGCUUACCAAGGCAACGAUGCGUAGCCGACCUGAGAGGGUGAUCGGCCACACUGGAACUGAGACACGGUCCAGACUCCUACGGGAGGCAGCAGUAGGGAAUCUUCCGCAAUGGGCGAAAGCCUGACGGAGCAACGCCGCGUGAGUGAAGAAGGUCUUCGGAUCGUAAAACUCUGUUAUUAGGGAAGAACAAAUGUGUAAGUAACUAUGCACGUCUUGACGGUACCUAAUCAGAAAGCCACGGCUAACUACGUG
rnacentral:rRNA from 1 species